UAUGAUAUAGGUGGAGAGAUUGCUCCCAGGCCCGGGAUUUGUGCGAGGUGAAGUCUGUGGGGUAUGGAGGCCCUGUCGUCCUGACAGGCGGGGACGGCUGUGAGAAGGAAGGCCUGAGGGAAAGAGAGACAUCUCGUCGUGAGAGCUCCAGGGCAAACUCCCUCUCCACAGGCACAGGAACAACGUUUCCAGGCAAGCUUAAACAGAAGAGACAGCAGAGUAAACACUCCAUCCCAUCCCAUCAUUGGCUUCUGUGCUGGAUUACACAAGACCAGAAUUCAGAUCUCCCACUGUAGUUUCCCUCUUCUGCAACCCCAACAGUCACCAUGAGAUUUUGAUCUCCCAGUGACCAGUGGUGCUGUACAGAAUGGAGGAACCGAGGGAGGAUCCAGUGAGUUGUUUCACACCAUGAAAAGCCCUGUGACAGCACCCAACUGCAGCUCCCGAACCACUGUCACUAAACCAGCUCUCCUGCCAUGGGGUGAGCAGCACAAAGAAAUAUAAUCAGCACAGGACAGAGAAGAUAAAUUCCCAAAUCAACAAAACAGCCUAAGAUGGAGAGAAGAGAGCUGGAGGGAGGGUGAGACCAGUCGAAAAGGACUCGACACACCUCCCAUCCAAGCAAAAUCCCAGCUUGGAUACCAUCCUGUGCAUGGGAUAAAGAACAAGAAGGUGAGGACAGUGCUUACAAGUUAAAACUGGUGUGACCCAUACCCUGAGAUAAACUCAGUAUCAAACUGUUACUCACCGCCAGCUCCAGGGAGUGGAUAACCUCAUUGGUCCUUUCCUUCCCUAAUUCCCCUGCCUGCCCAUGGCACUGCUGUCACUGGUGUUGGACAAAGCACCACCUGGCAUCUGGAUGGAAUAUAUCGUGAGAAAAGCAGCAAUUUGACAGAAAUGUUGCAAACAUAUUCAGUGUGGGAGCUCUUUUGGGGUCUUCAACAAUUCCUGCUGUCCAUGGCAGAGAGACCCCCCCCAGUGCCAUCACAGGUUGGUGUUAGUAGGGGUUAAUCCACAAGUCCUCAAGGGAGAUCUGUUGUGGGUUAUGUUGGAUACUUAUAAAUGUCUUCAGAAUUAAAUAGCAAGUAACCACACCACCCAAAUUUACUUUGCUUUCCCUGCCCUCUGUUAGAAUUGCUUUCUUUUCCUCCUACCAGUGUGUAUCUGUGGCUGUGCAGUACUCACAGGGUACAGAAAUCCUAGGAUUUCGUGCUUAGGUCAUGUAUGCUGCCAUCUACAUGGUUUGUGCUAAAACUUUCCCAAAUUCCCAAAGAAUGGGGGAAUUGCCACGUUGGUUGAGAACAAGGGUCCAUCCAGCUGAGUGACCACAGCUGGACACUCAGGUAAUCAUGGGCAGGCACAUGGGAUACUUCUCCCUGCUACUCUCCCAGCUUCCAACCAUUUUCUGCUCAGGGGCUUUCCUGAGCUUCCACAUGUCACUGUGUCCACAUCACCAGCCAAAUCCUCUGGCAAUUUAUAUGCUGCAAAACCUCUGGCUACUACAGCACAUAUAAAUCAAGCAGAAUUGGAGUCAAUGACAAUAAUUGAGGGGAAAAAAAAUCUGUGAUUUGGAAGACAUAUAUGAGUUUUGAUGUUAAUUUGGGCUAAAUCUCCUAGGAACAUAAAUUAUCUGUUUGGCUGCCUCUGUUCUCUGCCAUCCCUACGGAGCCUCACUGUGCAAUGGCAUAGUGCAAUAAGGAUAGAUGGAGCUUUGCUCUCAGAUCCAGUUUAAGAGCAGAAUGACACUUCCACAGUGGAGAGGGAUGGGAUUUCGGAAUGAGAAGCUCCUUUCCAGCAGCCACAGGCAUGUGGAGCCAGGCUGAUGGGGACAAGAAGCAAUUGAAGAAAGAUGAGAGCCAUGGAAGUGAGGAGGGAAGGAGCUGGACAAGGAGCAGACAGGGGUACAGAGAAGGCUCUAAGGAGAAGUCUUUCAUGGGAAAAGAUAGAAAUUUGAGAGUCAAUUUAAAUGAAAAUGAGAAGAAUGAAAAAAAGAAUCCAGGGAGAAGAGAUUCAAAGUUACAGCUGCUGGGGGAAGCAACACCUUUUCUUUCAGUGUCCUGGACAAGGGAGUAAGGCAGAUUGAUUAAGGCAAAGAGAAGCACAAGUCUAGUGAUCAAAACUGGACUCAUGGUCCAAAAUAUCUUCAUGAAUGCAGACUGCUACCCAGGGGAGCAGCUGUGCAAGGAAUUGUUCCCAACCAGUCUGGGACCCUUGGAAUAAGGGUCCAUUUUCUUCAGUGUUCUGGACAACGACAUGUGAAGCACAAGAAGACCAAUUGCCAGUGAUGGCCCAGUGUGCAAAUAUGCUCAUUAAAGAUAUGUAUUAAUGACAUUUUAUGACAUUACUAGGUAACAAAUUUUAAUCUGAUUUUUGCCUAGUUUCUAAAAAGAGAUCUGUACAACAUACUUACAAAUAUUUUGGAUGUAGCAAGUGUUACUGAAGUACCAUUAGUCACUACCAUCAUCUUAGAUUUAAACUUCAAAUCCACUGUGCUUCUUUUCUCCGUACUCUAUUAGUGCCCGUUGAAAGAAGUUAGCAUUUACACAGAUCAAAUCUAACCUUAGGAAAUCCUUCCUCAAAUGAGCAGAUGAGACUGAUUUCUCAAAACAUAAUAAUCCAAGAAAACUUUAUUCUAACCGUCUUCUUGCCAGGAUGUACCAAAUUUUCCAAGAUCCCUCUCCCACCUUACACAGGUAGGUUUCAGCAGGAACACAAAGCACAGUACCAUUUGCUCCAAGGAGCUCUGUAGCCUGCAGGAUCUUUGCAGAAUCCAGCUCGAAGAAAUACAGCACUUUGAGAAAACUGAGCUGUCAAACAAGAUUUCCUUGGGCUUGCUGCCACACAAAAUGGCAAAUAAGGGACUUGAUCCUGCACGGAAACAAUAGGAAUUAUAGGUGCUCAGCGUUUGUCUCCCCCGGCACAGUUAAGGUUUCUCAGCACUUCCCAAAAUCAGCUUAUACUUAUUCAAAAUUAUAUAGCUAAAAGCUUUGGUAUGUAGCCACAGAGCUUUUAUUUCAAAUUGGCAAUAAUGUAAGUUCUGCAAAAAGAAAGACUACAAUAAUGUUAAAAAUAUCAUAAAAUGUUAUUUAUAUCAGGAUACAUUUGUUAGCCCAUAUGACAAUCAUUCAUAUUUCUUGACAGAUAUAAACCUCCGCUUAACACAUUAGUAUCAUAAAUAUUACCAGAUAUAACACUGUAAUGUAAUACCUACCAAAUGUAUUUUAAAAUAUUACUCAAUUUAAAACUUUGGAUUUU